AUUGAACGCUGGCGGCAUGCCUUACACAUGCAAGUCGAACGGUAACGGGCCUUCGGGUGCCGACGAGUGGCGAACGGGUGAGUAAUGUAUCGGAACGUACCUUUCAGUGGGGGAUAACGUAGCGAAAGUUACGCUAAUACCGCAUAUUCUGUGAGCAGGAAAGCAGGGGAUCGCAAGACCUUGCGCUGAUUGAGCGGCCGAUAUCAGAUUAGCUGGUUGGUGAGGUAAAGGCUCACCAAGGCGACGAUCUGUAGCGGGUCUGAGAGGAUGAUCCGCCACACUGGAACUGAGACACGGUCCAGACUCCUACGGGAGGCAGCAGUGGGGAAUUUUGGACAAUGGGGGCAACCCUGAUCCAACCAUGCCGCGUGAGUGAAGAAGGCCUUCGGGUUGUAAAGCUCUUUCGGCCGGGAAGAAAUCGUAUCAGCUAAUACCUGGUGCGGAUGACGGUACCGGCAUAAGAAGCACCGGCUAACUACGUGCCAGCCGCCGCCGUAAAAC
rnacentral:rRNA from 1 species